rnacentral:rRNA from 1 species
UUCCUACGGGGGGCAGCAGUGGGGAAUAUUGCACAAUGGGGAAACCCUGAUGCAGCAACGCCGCGUGGGUGAAGGAGCGUUUCGGCGCGUAAAGCCCUGUCAGCGGGGAAGAAGAAAGACGGUACCCGACCAAGAAGCCCCGGCUAACUACGUGCCAGCAGCCGCGGUAAUACGUAGGAUGCGAGCGUUAUCCGGAUUUAUUGGGUUUAAAGGGUGCGUAGGCGGACGGUCAAGUCAGCGGUAAAAAUGCGGUGCUCAACGCCGUACAGCCGUUGAAACUGGCAGUCUUGAGUGGGCGAGAAGUA